GAUGAACGCUGGCGGCGUGCCUAAUACAUGCAAGUCGAGCGAACGGACGAGAAGCUUGCUUCUCUGAUGUUAGCGGCGGACGGGUGAGUAACACGUGGAUAACCUACCUAUAAGACUGGGAUAACUUCGGGAAACCGGAGCUAAUACCGGCUGAUAUUUUGAACCGCAUGGUUCAAAAGUGAAAGACGGUCUUGCUGUCACUUAUAGAUGGAUCCGCGCUGCAUUAGCUAGUUGGUAAGGUAACGGCUUACCAAGGCAACGAUGCAUAGCCGACCUGAGAGGGUGAUCGGCCACACUGGAACUGAGACACGGUCCAGACUCCUACGGGAGGCAGCAGUAGGGAAUCUUCCGCAAUGGGCGAAAGCCUGACGGAGCAACGCCGCGUGAGUGAUGAAGGUCUUCGGAUCGUAAAACUCUGUUAUUAGGGAAGAACAUAUGUGUAAGUAACUGUGCACAUCUUGACGGUACCUAAUCAGAAAGCCACGGCUAACUACGUG
rnacentral:rRNA from 1 species